rnacentral:rRNA from 1 species
UACGGAGGGGGCAAGCGUUGUUCGGAAUUACUGGGCGUAAAGGGCGCGUAGGCGGAACGGUCAGUCAGGUGUGAAAUCCCCGGGCUCAACCUGGGAACUGCACUUGAUACUGCCGAUCUAGAGUCCGGGAGAGGGUAGUGGAAUUCCCAGUGUAGAGGUGAAAUUCGUAGAUAUUGGGAAGAACACCGGUGGCGAAGGCGGCUACCUGGACCGGAACUGACGCUGAGGCGCGAAAGCGUGGGGAGCAAACAGG